rnacentral:rRNA from 1 species
AACGAACGCUGGCGGCAUGCCUAACACAUGCAAGUCGAACGAGACCUUCGGGUAUAGUGGCGCACGGGUGCGUAACGCGAGGGAACCUGCCCUUAGGGUCGGAAUAACUCCCCGCAAGGGGUGCUAAUACCGGAUAAUGUCUUCGGACCAAAGAUUUAUUGCCUUUGGAUGGGCCCGCGUUGAAUUAGCUAUUUGGUAGGGUAAAGGCCUACCAAGGGGACGAUCCAUAGCUGGUCUGAGAGGAUGGUCAGCAACACUGGGAGUGGGACACGUCCCAGACUCUCACGGGUGGCAGCAGGGGGGAAUAUUGGACACUGGGCGAAAGCAUGAUCUAGCCAGGCCGCGUGAGUGUUGAAGGAGUGAGGGUUGUAAAGCUCUGUUACCCGGGAUGAUAAUGACGGUACCGGGAGAAUAAGCUCCGGCUAACUACGUG